UCUUUCGGAUGAACAAAGAAAGUGGUUUCCUGAGAUGGAAUCUACUCCUGGUGAAGAUGCUGUAAA
rnacentral:pre_miRNA from 1 species